AGUGAACGCUGGCGGUAGGCUUAACACAUGCAAGUCGAACGGCAGCACACUAAGAGCGUGGUCUUACGGGUGGCGAGUGGCGGACGGGUGAGGAAUACAUCGUAACCUACUUUUUCGGGUGGGAUAACGUAGGGGGACUUACUCUAAUACCGCAUACGUCCUACGGUGGAAAGCAGGGGAUCUUCGGACCUUGCGCGAUUGGAUGCGCCGAUGUCGGAUUAGAUAGUUGGCGGGGUGAAGGCCUAGCAAGGCGACGAUCCGUAGCUGGUCUGAGAGGCUGGUCAGCCACACUGGAAGGGAGACACGGUCCAGACUCCUGAGGGAGGGAGCAGUGGGGAAUAUUGGACAAUGGGGGGGAGCAUGAUACAGUCAUACGGAGUGGGUGAAGAAGGCCUUGGGGUUGUGAAGACGGUUUGUUGGGAAAGAAACGCAGCAGGUUAAUACCCCGCUGUUGUGACGGUAACCGAAGAAUAAGCACCGGCUAACUUCGUG
rnacentral:rRNA from 1 species